CGGAGCCGCCCCGGCCGAGGGGAGGGGAGAGCGGCGCGGGGGAGGGGACACCGCCGGGCCCGGCGCCCCCGGAGGCGGGCGGGCGGCUGCUCCGCGCUCCCCUCCUCGCGGCAGUACCUGCGCUGGAAGUCGGUCCGGAAGGGCUCCAGGCUUCUAGAGUGUUACACAGCUGCUCACAGCUGGCAGUUGCUGCUGCAGGAACAGCUGGAUUGCAACAAUCUGCAUCUCCAAGGCUUAGUCCCUGCUGAAUGUGCCAUUCCCUCAGCCCAGCCAUUUCUUCUACAAAAGGAGAGGAAGACUGGUGUUUCUAGGAGCAGAGUGGGCAUGUGUCGUAAGAGUUGCUUCUAAGUUCUGAGCUUGGCAGUCUUCCUGAUGCAGACAAGAGAUGGGACUUGCUUUGUAAGUCAUCAGCCCCUGAGGCCUACACAAGAGCAGUGAUGUUUACUUUUGGUUUUUCUAAUUCCUCAGCUUUGGCACUUCUGCAGCUGUCUCCUCAGCAACUUCUGUGUUGCCAUCUGAUUCAACACGUGCACAAGGAACACUUGCAAAGGGAGCUGAGUCAUUCUCUAAAUCUGGAACAUCGUCCUUGGAACACAAAACCUUCCUCUGCAGGACUUAAGG